rnacentral:lncRNA from 1 species
UCCUUAACGUGAUAGUGUUUGUUAUUGCCCUGGCCAUUGUUGUAAUAACUAUUGCUGCAACUAUUAUUGUAAUUGCACCAAAUCAAUUAAGGUCCGUAUUAUUUGUGCCCUGUUUGGUUCUUGCUGCUCCAUCUAGUUGUUCUUAGUAGGAUUAAUAACUCCUCCUUACUGAGGAGUGCCAUCGACCUGCUGAGAAGUACUACCCUCUUAUUGAUUCAUCACCUCGAGCAACUCUCUUUAUCCAACAUGGAGCCAUCUCAAUGAGCUUCUCAAAAUUUUUCUUUUAAACCUAAUACCAAAAAUUAUAUUUUUAUCAAAUUUAACAAUAAUUAUUUUAAAAAUAAAAAUUCUAAAUCCUU